AUAGUGUUUGUUUUAAUUUGUGGAG
rnacentral:piRNA from 1 species